GAGCUCAGUUUGGCAGCACAUAUACUAAAAUUGGACCAAUGGAAGAUCAGCAUGGCCCCUGCACAAGGAUGACAUGCAAAUUCAUGAAGUCUUCCAUGUUUUA
ensembl:snRNA U6 U6 spliceosomal RNA